rnacentral:rRNA from 1 species
AGCGUUCUAAGGGCGUUGAAGGCAGAUCGUGAGGACUGCUGGAGCGCUUAGAAGUGAGAAUGCCGGUAUGAGUAGCGAAAGACAGGUGAGAAUCCUGUCGAGUGACCCUGCGCCGAAAAUGUACCGGGGCUAAACAUAUUACCGAAGCUGUCGGAGUACACCUUUAGGUGUAUUGGUAGGAGAGCGUUCUAAGGGCGUUGAAGGCAGAUCGUGAGGACUGCUGGAGCGCUUAGAAGUGAGAAUGCCGGUAUGAGUAGCGAAAGACAGGUGAGAAUCCUGUC